rnacentral:rRNA from 1 species
AUUGAACGCUGGCGGCAGGCCUAACACAUGCAAGUCGAGCGGAUGAAGGGAGCUUGCUCCUGGAUUCAGCGGCGGACGGGUGAGUAAUGCCUAGGAAUCUGCCUGGUAGUGGGGGAUAACGUCCGUAAACGGGCGCUAAUACCGCAUACGUCCUGAUAGAGAAAGUGGGGGAUCUUCGGACCACACGCUAUCAGAUGAGCCUAGGUCGGAUUAGCUAGUUGGUGGGGUAAGGGCGUACCAAGGCGACGAUCCGUAACUGGGCUGAGAGGAUGAUCAGCCACACUGGAACUGAGACACGGUCCAGACUCCUACGGGAGGCAGCAGUGGGGAAUAUUGGACAAUGGGCGAAAGCCUGAUCCAGCCACGCCGCGUGUGUGAAGAAGGUCUUCGGAUUGUAAAGCACUUUUAGUUGGGAGGAAGGGCAGUAAGUUAAUACCUUGCUGUCUUGACGUUACCAAAAGAAAAAGCACCGGCUAACUUCGUG